ACGGGUGCGUAACGCGUAUGCAAUCUACCCUUUUCUGGAGAAUAGCCCUUAGAAAUGAGGAUUAAUACUCCAUAGUAUAACAAUUUCGCAUGUUAUUGUUAUUAAAGCUUCGGCGGAAAAGGAUGAGCAUGCGUCCCAUUAGUUUGUUGGUGAGGUAACGGCUCACCAAGACUACGAUGGGUAGGGGGCCUGAGAGGGUUAUCCCCCACACUGGUACUGAGACACGGACCAGACUCCUACGGGAGGCAGCAG
rnacentral:rRNA from 1 species